AGUGAACGCUGGCGGUAGGCCUAACACAUGCAAGUCGAACGGCAGCACAGUAAGAGCUUGCUCUUACGGGUGGCGAGUGGCGGACGGGUGAGGAAUACAUCGGAAUCUACUUUUUCGUGGGGGAUAACGUAGGGAAACUUACGCUAAUACCGCAUACGACCUACGGGUGAAAGCAGGGGAUCUUCGGACCUUGCGCGAUUGAAUGAGCCGAUGUCGGAUUAGCUAGUUGGCGGGGUAAAGGCCCACCAAGGCGACGAUCCGUAGCUGGUCUGAGAGGAUGGUCCGCCCAAGAGGAGGGGGACCACGGUCCAGCCUCCGGGGGGUGGGAGCAGGGGGGAAUUUGGGACAGGGGGCGCAGGCCUGAUCCCCCCACGCCGGGUGGGAGAAGAAGGCUUUCGGGUUGAAAAGCCUUUUUGUGGGAAAAAAAAAGCAGCAGUUUAACCCCCCGUUGUUGUGAGGGAACCAAAAAAAUAAGCACGGCAAAACUCGGUC
rnacentral:rRNA from 1 species